GUGGAGUCCUUGGUGCUCUCUGAGCUUGGUUGUUUGAUCAACACUAGGAUUAACCCCAGAGGAACCAUCAAACAGCACAAUACACCCUAAUCAAGGAACUAUCAACUCAGUCAACCAAGCAGCAAACAACAGCCCAGUCAAGGAACUCCCAAGGAGAGAAUGACACCCCCACCAACACAAGCA